GGAGAAUCCUUAUUAGAGACAAAAAAGCGGCUAACCGCCCAUCAAGUUCUGUGCCAUCCAUGGGUUCAGGUUGAUGGUAUAGCUCCUGAUAAGCCUCUUGAUUCUGCAGUUCUAAGUCGCAUGAAGCAAUUCUCUGCUAUGAACAAGAUCAAGAAAAUGGCCCUCAGAGUGGUUCAAGUUGCUUGCUGGAAUUUGUACUUUAUCUACAACUAGUUGAAGGCGAACUUAACCUCAACCCAUUUUUAGAAGCAUUUUGCCCUUGAAAAGGGAAUUCAGCAGCAUAAGAAGAAAUGAGUCCCAUUUUUAUUUUCUUUGAUCAAUCUGAAUUUUAUUAGAAAAGGAGUCAGUGAUCUCCAUUGUCAUAGCCUUGUUUCAGCUUUCAUCUUUUUAGAUCCUGCUUUUAUGGAUCUUAAAGGAAAUAUAUUACAAUAAAUGUUAUCUUGUUAUUGUA